ACCAGACUCCUACGGGAGGCAGCAGUGGGGGAUAUUGCACAAUGGGGGGAACCCUGAUGCAGCGACGCCGCGUGGGUGAAGAAGCGCCUCGGCGCGUAAAGCCCUGUCAGCAGGGAAGAAAAUGACGGUACCUGAAGAAGAAGCCCCGGCUAACUACGUGCCAGCAGCCGCGGUAAUACGUAGGGGGCAAGCGUUAUCCGGAUUUACUGGGUGUAAAGGGGGCGCAGACGGCGAGGCAAGCCAGGAGUGAAAGCCCGGGGCCCAACGCCGGGACUGCUCUUGGAACUGCGUGGCUGGAGUGCAGGAGGGGCAGGCGGAAUUCCUGGUGUAGCGGUGAAAUGCGUAGAUAUCAGGAGGAACACCGGUGGCGAAGGCGGCCUGCUGGACUGCAACUGACGUUGAGGCCCGAAAGCGUGGGGAGCAAACAGGAUUAGAUACCCGCGUA
rnacentral:rRNA from 1 species